ACUGAGGACACGCUCUGACACAGGCAGAGCCAACACAUCGCCACAGACCACCGUCCUGCCUGCUCUCAGAGUCCCUUCAAACUGUCCGAGAGAUUUCAGCUUGUUGGCAUUUGACCCCGAUGGAGAUGAGGUCAAAUGUAGACAUGCGAGCUCCUCCCUGGCAGAGUGUACCCAGUGUGCGCCGCCGUCUGUCCUCAGCCUCUCAUCAUCCUGUACUCUGUCGUUCAGCCCCACUAACAGCAGCAACGAAGGUCCGUAUGCAGUGCAGCUGGUGAUGGAGGACUUUCCCAGGCAGAACAUCACACUGACUCGAACCAACGGCUCACAGGAGGUGAAAACGACCAACAACGCCAUCAGCAAAAUCCCGGUCCAGUUUGUUUUGAAAGUGGUUCCAGCAGUGCCGACCUGCA
rnacentral:lncRNA from 1 species